rnacentral:rRNA from 1 species
AUUGAACGCUGGCGGCAGGCCUAACACAUGCAAGUCGAGCGGAUGAAGGGAGCUUGCUCCUGGAUUCAGCGGCGGACGGGUGAGUAAUGCCUAGGAAUCUGCCUGGUAGUGGGGGAUAACGUCCGGAAACGGGCGCUAAUACCGCAUACGUCCUGAGGGAGAAAGUGGGGGAGCUUCGGACCUCACGCUAUCAGAUGAGCCUAGGUCGGAUUAGCUAGUUGGUGGGGUAAAGGCCUACCAAGGCGACGAUCCGUAACUGGUCUGAGAGGAUGAUCAGUCACCUGAGAGCUGAGACGCGGUCCAGACUCCUACGGGACGCAGCAGUGGGGAAUAUUGGACAAUGGGCGAAAGCCUGAUCCAGCCAUGCCGCGUGUGUUAAGAAGGUCUUCGGAUUGUAAAGCACUCUAAGUUGGGAGGAAGGGCAGUAAGUUAAUACCUUGCUGUUGUGACGUUACCAACAGAAGAAGCACCGGCUAACUUCGUG